rnacentral:rRNA from 1 species
AUUGAACGCUGGCGGCAGGCCUAACACAUGCAAGUCGAACGAGUGGCGGACGGGUGUGUAAUGUCUGGGAAACUGCCCGAUUGAGGGGGUUAACUACUGGAAAAGGUAGCUAAUACCGCAUACCAUCGGAUGUGCCCAGAUGGGAUUAGCUAGUAGGUGGGGUAACGGCUCACCAAGGCGACGAUCCCCAGCUGGUCUGAGAGGAUGACCGGCCACACUGGAACUGAGACACGGUCCAGACUCCUACGGGAGGCAGCAGUGGGGAAUAUUGCGCAAUGGGCGAAAGCCUGAUGCAGCCAUGCCGCGUGUAUGAAGAAGGCUUUCGGGUUGUAAAGUUCUUUCAUCAGAGAAGCGUUAUUCAAAGAGGAAGCACCGGCUAACUCCGUGCCAGCAGCCGCGGUAAUUC